UUUCGCAAUGCCCGAAAGGGUGACGAAGCGACGCCGCGUGCGGGAAGAAGGCCUUCGGGUUGUAAACCGCUGUCGGGAGUUAAGAAAUGUAAGGAUGUUAAUAGCAUCUUUGCUUGACUAAGGCUCCGGAGGAAGCCACGGCUAACUCUGUGCCAGCAGCCGCGGUAAUACAGAGGCGGCAAGCGUUGUUCGGAAUUAUUGGGCGUAAAGAGCACGUAGGCGGCUAUAUAAGUCGGUUGUGAAAGCCUUCCGCUCAACGGGAGAACAGCAUCCGAUACUGUAUGGCUUGAGUGUGGGAGGGGAGAGCGGAACUUCUGGUGGAGCGGUGAAAUGCGUAGAUAUCAGAAGGAACACCGGCGGCGAAGGCGACUCUCUGGUCCGUAACUGACGCUGAGUGUGCGAAAGCUAGGGGAGCAAACGGGAUUAGAUACCCCGGUAGUCCUAGCCGUAAACGAUGGGCACUAAGUAGAGGGGUUUU
rnacentral:rRNA from 1 species